rnacentral:lncRNA from 1 species
UUUCACAGCUACCAGGGUUUUAAAGCUACUUAUUUUCAAUGCUACCACAGGACUGGGACUUGGGGAAUGGAAAUAUGAUCCCGUAGGCCCAUACUUGCACCAACUUAUGUCUGGUGCAACAAUGACACCAACGAUGUCUCCUGCUUACAACAACAAAAAUUUCUUUCUCAUCAUGCUGCAUGUCCAUCAAAGGUCGUCUUCUCUCGAGGCAGUCUCUAACUGGAAUGUUGGCACCGGUUGCAUUUCAUUGGGUAAAGCUAUACAUUUGUCAGGUCUCCAGGACUUUGAUUAACAGUGGGAGUAACAGAGCAAUCACUGUCUUAGUAACAACUUCAAAGGGAAGAUGCAUCAAGUUGAGGAAGACAUUGAUACAGGCUUUCUUCAGAGUCCUUAUCAAAGAUCAAGACUAUAUCAGCCUCAUAAAAUGGGUUAGGUAAUUUUCCUAUUUUUAUUUUUUAG